rnacentral:rRNA from 1 species
UACCAGCUCUCCGAGUGGUAGGGAUGAUUAUUGGGCUUAAAGCGUCCGUAGCCGGCUUAGCAAGUUUCCUGUUAAAUUCAGCGACCUAAUCGUUGAGCCGCGGGAAAUACUACUAGGCUAGGAGGCGGGAGAGGUCGACGGUACUUCUGGGGUAGGGGUGAAAUCCUAUAAUCCCGGGAGGACCACCAGUGGCGAAGGCUGUCGACUAGAACGCGCUCGACGGUGAGGGACGAAAGCUGGGGGAGCGAACCGGAUUAGAUACCCGGGUAGCCCCAGCUGUAAACGAUGCGGGCUAGGUGUUGGGGUGGCUACGUGCCACUUCAGUGCCGCAGGGAAGCCAUUAAGCCCGCCGCCUGGGGAGUACGGCCGCAAGGCUGAAACUUAAAGGAAUUGGCGGGGGAGCACCACAAGGCGUGAAGCUUGCGGUUC